CAGAAUUUUAUCACGGUUUCACAAAAAUAAUCUUUGAAGGAGACAACAAGAAAAUGGUUGGACAUACUUACCUCAAAGGUUCUGCGGUUUAGUUUAUAUAAUUGGGUGAGAGAAAUAAGAUGGUGGAUGAAUAAAUUCAAAGAUACUGAGCUUAGAUGGAUAUGCAUACAUGGCAAUAUGGUUGCAGACAAGCUAGCAAAAGAUAAUAUCCCUGCAGAGAGUUCUUUUCAAUCUUAUAAAUUAUGUUCCUAGAUUUGUAACUCAAUACUUGCAUCAAGACUCUGUAAGUUCAGUUGUGCAUUAAUAAUAAGAUGGAAGUUACUAAAAAAGUGUUUGAAAUAUUUUUAGUUAAACUCUAUAUAUCUUUAGCGAAAGAAUUAUAAUACAAUACAAAUUUUAGAAACUAAAAUGUUUGAAAUAUUUUUAUUUUAUUUUAUUUUAAAACAUUUAUUUUCAGUUUUGUAUAUUUUUAGUUAAACUAUAUAUAUUUUAUAUUUUCAAAUUUUGUAUAUACUAUUAUAUGCUGUUUGUAUAAUUCGAAUAUAUAUAAUCUAAAGCUUAAAACAAUUUCAUUUGUAACUCAACACAUGAAAGCUAUAAAGUUUUUAAAGUAAAAAAAAAAAGAAAUAAAUUUACUUUAAAUAAAAUAAAAUAAAUAGUUCUAAACAAAUUUGAUAGAUUUUUUUCAUUUUAUUUAGUUAUCUAACAAUAUUAAAAGGAGAAUAAGCUCAAAGGAGAGCUAUGCCACAUAGGAUUAAAAAAAUCGACCAAUUAUGAAGCUCUAUUAUGCCAUGUCACUCAUUUUGUAGUCGAAAUAGAAUGUUAACUCUCAUAUGGGCUGAUAAUAAAGAAAAUUGGCCCAUUAAUAAAGAGUCCAGCUCUCCAUCCAAUUUCAAUUUCCAUCACCGUAGUCUCCGGUUCUUACAGUUCACGGACGACGUUUCCAAUCGCUGCAAUUAACCGUUUAAUUACGACCCAUUCGAUGUCAUUCAAUUACAUUAUUAAAACUUUAAUCCUACCUUCAUAGCUCACUCGCUCUCAUUCUGAUUUUUCUCUUCAUCUCCCCCAGAGUGCUUUCAGAUGUGAGAGAUGAAAUAUAAAUAUCAAAACUCUUAUGCUUACAAAAUAAAAAUAAAAGUCGCAUUCAAGAGGAAGACAUAAAGAAGUUCGAGUUUUAGGUCUUUUAGUUCUUUGAUUCUUCUAUUUUUCUGAUUUUUUUUUUAUUUUUCCAUUCUUUGAUUCUUUAUUUCAAUUAGGUUAAACCCUCGUGUCAUUAUGUUUAUUUCUUUGAGAGGCUUUCAGGUGAUUCUAAGAUGAGGGAUAUGCUCUUAUAUCUUUGAGAUCCUCUUCACCUGCUCAAAAAUCUCUUCCCCUUCAGACUUUUCUCAGUUUUACACUAUUGCGAGGGAAUCUCAAGACUCAGCAGAUGACUCAAGUGUAAGCUUAAUAGUUAAUAAUAUUUUUUUUUUAAAAUAUUACCCUGUUUGAUGUGUGUUUUGCUUCUCUAAUCCAGUUAUGGUUUUUAUGACGAUGUUUCAGGAAGUACGAGAAUGCACCUGGACCUUUUCGAUUAUCUUCCCCUCAUCAGACGUAACUACACCAUUUAUCACCUUCUCCCUUUUUUGUGUCCAGGUCCUUAGUUCGGAUUGAAUUUGAAUAUGAGUUUUUGAUGGGUCUCUCCCUCCUUCCGCUCUCAAGGUUCAAGUGCUAACUUCCAAAUUACUAUUAGGUUGUUUUCUCAAAGAGCAAAAUAAUAACUUAUUGGUUAUCUAUUUGGAGUAUGUCUAGGUGCAACAUGAAGGACCAAUUUGUGAUUUAUGGUCUGGUCCCCUUGAUCGAUGUGGGUUAUUGGUAAUGGUUAUUAUUUGGACCAGACCAAUUUCAGUGACAACAAUGGACGCAGUCUCAUAACAAGAGCACAUCAGCUUCUCAUGGAAGGAUUUAACUGGUGGCAUGUCAUGUAUGCUCAUCUCAAUUGCUCAAGGCUCUGCCAAAGGCAUGAUUGGUCAGUCCAUCUUAUCAUAACUGUGGAUUGAAUCACUGAUCUUUCAAAAAAUUUAUGGUAACAGGAAAAGAAUGUGGUGACAGUGUUUUAGUGCACCAAAUUAUUGCUACCGGUGUGGAAACUAAGCAACGAUUGUAGAGAUAUGAGGAGCAGAUUUCCUCCAGUUUGAUCCAGCUCCCCAACAAGCCGAGAUACCGUUGAUCCUAUAACCUACACAACGGCAACUGAUCAGCAUGGAAAAGAGAAUCAGGCUGGGUUACUAAACACAACUGAGAGCUUUCCUUUAUCUCCAUCUGGUAUGUUUCUAACAUCAAUAUUCUCCAAGCGAACUAGCAUGUCUUUGAAAAAACACAAGACUGAAUUAUAAACAAUAAGAAACCCUGAAGAAACUAACUCAACAACUUCCACCUCUUGAAAUUGAAUUAGAUGCAGGGAAUUCUCUUUUGCGGUUGAUUCUUUGGCAAAACAUUAGAAGCAUAAGGCACAGUUGUGUCAUGUGCAGGUAUAUUGCACCGGCUUUCCAGUAACUUCUACCAAAUGUUUACUCCCAUUGUGCAGUUGUAUUAAAAACUAAGUAUCGAGGUUGUUACCUUUUCCUCGGUCAGAAUCUUUGUAAUCAUGCUUCUCCAAAUUACUACAGUAAGCUACCGGGUGGAGCUGAUGUGUGUGCCAAAUAAGAUCAACAUCAUAAGUCAGAACGCGCCAAACCAUUUAAAAAAAUGUACCACAGAACCGUUCUCAGUUUUUUACAUAUAGAAACAUCGUGGAUUGUUUCCUUAGUCUCACUUAUUUUAAAACAGAACCAAAACUGGAGAAAACAACAAGUGAUCAAAGCUCUGAGCUUUAUUCAAAAUGUCUCAAUAAAUUUACCAUAUUGAACUUAAAUUGGAUUUUUUCCCAAAAAUGAUAAUUUUUUAUACAAGAGGAACUUCAGGGUUUGGCUUGGUUAAUCUUCUGGUCUUUUUCUUUGCUGAGAAAACAUAGACCAGACAGCAAAGAAUAAGAACUUAUUGGCUUCUUGGGAUGAUGAUGAUGAUGUGUAGGUCUGCCAUUGCCAUGAGGAGCACGACAAAGAGAUCUAAUAACCACAACUCUUUAAACUCUAAUUAGUCUUAAAAUUAGGCUAAAUUGUUUUCACUGCGAGAAAAAGAAACCACAAGAAACAGAGCAGGGGAAAAAGGAAGUAUAGUAAUAGAGAAACUAGAUUUUACCGUGAACUGAACCAGCAUUCAUGAGUAAAGCGUUAUUUCUUUUGUGUUUUGUUGUCUGACUUGGGUUGCCUAAAUGAACUUCAGUGACAACCUGAAUAUUUUGCGUUGUACCUGCAAGAGUAGGAGGGAAAAAGAUUCAGGUAUUCAUUUCAUGUAUACAAACAAGGAUUUCAUCAAAUACGAGAAAACACAAAAAUGAUUAAUUUAAUUACAUUGGAAGUGCAUAACACAAAGGAAACGCGUCGUUACAUCUAAAUGUAGUUCCCUUUGUUAAAUCAGUGUCUCAUUAAAGAUUAUAUGUUCAUAUACUAUACUUUUUUUGGGAGCAAAUUGCACUAUACUUUUAGAAUAAGAAAUAUAAAUAACUUGAAGCCUUUUUCAAAAAGAAAAACGAAAGAAAUAACCAUUAAAAAUAAUCUUAGUGACAUGUUCGUUGGAUGAUGUGCAAAAGAAAUUUACAUCCAAAAACUGUUUAGAAAACCAAACAAUAAUAAAAAAUCUGCACGUAGAAGGUAGUUAAAGUAAUUUUCACGAGGUUUUGGUUUAAAUAAUAAUGAAAAUUAUAUACAAUAUAUUGUAAGUAAAGUGUUAAAAAAGUGUUAAAAUAAUUUUUGAUGUAAUAUUAUUGCCAAUAAUGUAAUCUACAGUAUGUUUCUUUCAAUAUUUCAUUUUUGCAUUCCCAUAAUUUAUUUUUUCGUUUUAUAAUUUUUUUUAUAAAAUACAUAACAUAUGUAUUAUACAUUCAAAUACAUAAUUGGCAGUUUUAAAGUUAAAAUACAUUCAUAUAAUUAUAAAGUAAUACAAUCGAAGCUACCUUUGUAAUAGUUAAAUCUAGGUAGCAAUGAGCUCCAACAAACUGGUUAGGGUGUGGCUUUACGUGGUCUAGAAACCACUAAAGCUCACACUGGGUGAUUUUAAAAUUUGUUUUUUUUUAAUUAUUAUUGGAGACUAUAUAUAACAUGACGAUGAGGAAGCUGAAUAAAAAUAAAUAAAUCUUAGUUACCAUCUAAAUAUAGAUAUGUUAUCUUCUUAUCUAGAUGUUUACGUAAAACAUAUGUUAAAUUAAGAAUUAAUCUUUGUUUUAGUUUAAAUCAUUAAAUUCUCUUUUUAGUUUUUAUUGGCUUACGUCUUCAAAACAAAAUACAAACAAACCUGUGAGCAUAAUUUUUUGGUUUAAUUUAACUGAUUGAUUAGGUUCAUCAGUUUCACAAAAAGUAUGGUCAUGCAAUAUUGGUUUGAUAUACACAACAAAACUAUGUUAUUAGCUUAACCAAAUAAACUAAAAAUAAUUCUAGCUAGAUUAUUACAAUAAAAAUUAGUUAAACCAAAAUUUUGGUUUACUAUAGAUACCAAAAUUCUCUUACAGUCAGUGCCAAAAACAAUUCUCUUACAGUUAAUGAAAAUGAAGUUCUAAUGAAUUAAUUACUCAAUGAUUCACAAAUAUGCUAAUAUUUAUAUGGGAUGAACUAGCAACUUCUUUCAAAUAAUUAUCAAAGCAACAACCAAAAAAAUUAUAAAUGUAAAAAAUAUUUCAUUAACCAUGUAAGUUAUAUAUAAAAACUAAUCAAAAGAAUAAAAAAAGUUAUUGUUCGUCUCAACAUCAUUCAAAAUAUUUUACAUCAACUUCAUAAACAUUAUUCAAAGCUUCAAAGAAAAAAUUAAAACUAAAUAGAAAACAAAAAAACAUCAAACUACAUUAUUCGUGUUUACGGUGUUAGACGUGUUAUUCUUUCUUAUUUCAAAAAUUAUGAACCUACUUUAUACUAACAAAAACUUUGUGAUGAAAAAGUAAAAAAUUCAAAGUCAUAGUAAAAAUUCAGAAAAAUUAAAAUAAUGUACAAAUAUUCAGUUAAAAUUGGUAAAAAUAUAAUUAUAAAUAUUUUUAGAAAAUAAAUACAAAUAACAAAUGUCUCCUAUUAAUUACAAAUAUAAAAACAAUAAAUUUAAAUAUAUUAUCCGCGCGUAGCGCGGUCACAAUUCUAGUUUAUAUAAAUUGAACAUAAAUAGAAAAUAUUUAUCGAUUUAGUGUAUAUUAAUUUAUCAAAUAUUAUUUCUUGAGUGUUAUAUCUACUUUAUUAAAACAGAAGUACAAAAUAGAAAUACCCCUUAGUUUUACUACUUAUUUACAUUAGAAUGCCAUUGAGGUAUUUAUUGAACCUAUAUUUAAGCAUGCUUGUCUUUUCCUAAUUUAAAUCAUAGAUUUAAGCAUUUAAUAUCUUUCCAAAAUUUAAAUAAUAGAUUUCAUUUAUCAAAUCAUAACCAAAAUAAAUUUCCUAAUAUAUUUCGUAUUAACAUACUCAAUAUUUUUAAUAUUUAUAAGUAAUAAAUAAUAAAAUAAAAAAUCACACAUCAUAAUCAAUUUAUAUAACAUAUAAAUAAAAUAUAAAAUAGUUUAUUCAUAUAUUA